GCUAGUGGGCUUUCCCUACGAUUAAAAUCUUUGUUUCCCUAGCACUGGUGGUUGUGAAAACGAUUGUGCAAAUGGGUUAAGAACCGCCUAUAGAGCUUCUAUGUACUAGUGUAUCUACUUGUUUAACUUCAAGACAGAUAAAAUGUCUUAAUUUGGAAUGUAGGGAGUAAUACUUAUCAAUUCCCCACAAGAAUCUAGUUACAUUUUAACUGUUUGGUAAAACUUCAUAAAAUCCACUCUAAGGAAGUUAGAAUCUGACUAUACAAGCCCUAAAUAUCCUUUAACUGCCACCAUGUCCCAUGUAAUCAGACAUAUGACACUCAGGGAAUAUUUCUCGUAAUAUCCCUCUCUAGUACAUGACAAACGGUAUCUACUACAAAUCCUAUAUCAUCUAGUUUUUUUUAGCCAUCUAGGCGUUUUGCGAUAGGAGAUAUAAAUGAUAACCUGAAAUAUAUAGAGUUUCACCUUUUUAAAUUCAUAGAUGGGUUAGUUUUACCUUUCAUGAAUUAUGAAAUUCAAUUCCCUAGUCAUGCUACGUCACUGAUGGCUUAGUUUUAUCUAGUAGGAAAUUCAAUUUCCUAGUCAUGUUAUGUCGCUGAUGUGAGGUACUACAACAGAUCACGGAAUGCAGGGCCACAAUCCUUGCUUAGAACGUUAGAUUAUAUAAUGAACACUACUACAGUCAGGUACUGCAGGGGCGGCUAAAUAAGCUCUAUAAGGGCGGCUGGCCCAGCCGCCCUUAUGCAAACGCUCUUACAGUGGAAUUCACUGUAAGGGCGGUUCAACACCAGCCGCUCUUACAGUGGCCCACUGUAAGGGCGGUUGGAAACAACAGCCGCCCUUACAGUGGCCUACUGUAAGAGCGGUUGGUGCUUCCAGCCGCCCUUAUAGUGAGCCUUAGUAAGAGCGGCUUGUGUCUCAGCCGCCUCUAUUGUCUGCAUUUGCAAGGGCGGCUCUAUCUAGAACCGCCCUACAGUUAUUUUUCAGAAAAAAAAAAAUAAAAAUUACAAUAAUCGAGUUGACAGCACAGCACAGCACCACAUACAUAUAUACAUAUAUAAUCAGAUUCUCAACAUCACAGAUUCACAACAUAAAUAUCCAUACAUAUACACAGCACCACAUUUCAAGUCCAAAAUGUUUCCAUGUCCAAAUCCAUCCAAAAGAGUCUGAAAUUUUUCAGGUACUAAUACAAAUCGAUCACAGUCCAUUCCAACAAGUUCACAUGUAAUCAACGACCUAGACAUAGCCUAUCCCACUGACGGAGGUGCUGGUAAAGAGGAUUGCUACCUAAGUCGGACUGUGGGUUAUGGUAAUCACCUUUGUAAUAAACAACAUGGUCCAUUAUAAAGUUGCAAAGGUCACCAACAAUCUCUAAGAGGUCAUCAUCCCUGUAGACAUCCCUUUUUAGUCCUUUUUCUUCUUUCCACUACAAGAUCGUAAAAGACAAGUUUAGGUCUAGUGUAAAGAAAAGAUUGCAAAGCUAAGUGAGAAAUACUAUGUUUUCAUACUACAACCCACUAAGAGAUUCAAACUUACCAAUUCAGGGUGUCUCCUGUAGCCUUUUGUGUUACUGAUGAAAGCACAUACAUAGUAUCCACAAUGCAGACUCCCUGGCCUUUGCUUGGGAAACUUUGUUUCAAUUUGCAAAUGGAGAUGUGUCAAGUAUAAGUACUGAAAAACUUAGUAAUUUUAUGCCAAACUAAGUCGCACUUACCGAACAUAGAGAUUUAAAACGCAAGUGGC
rnacentral:lncRNA from 1 species